AGUGAACGCUGGCGGUAGGCCUAACACAUGCAAGUCGAACGGCAGCACAGUAAGAGCUUGCUCUUACGGGUGGCGAGUGGCGGACGGGUGAGGAAUACAUCGGACUCUACUUUUUCGUGGGGGAUAACGUAGGGAAACUUACGCUAAUACCGCAUACGACCUACGGGUGAAAGCAGGGGAUCUUCGGACCUUGCGCGAUUGAAUGAGCCGAUGUCGGAUUAGCUAGUUGGCGGGGUAAAGGCCCACCAAGGCGACGAUCCGUAGCUGGUCUGAGAGGAUGAUCGGCCACCCUGGAGCUGGACCGCGGUCCAGGCUCCUACGGUAGGCAGCAGUCGGGAAUAUUGGACAAUGGGCGCAAGCCUGAUCCAGCCAUCCCGCGUGUGUGAAGAAGGCCUUCGGGUUGUAAAGCCCUUUUGUUGGUAAAGAAAAGCAGCAGGUUAAUACCCCGCUGUUCUGACGGUACCCAAAGAAUAAGCACCGGCUAACUUCGUG
rnacentral:rRNA from 1 species